AGUCGAGAGGCUUCGGCAAUGGGGGAAACCCUGACCGAGCGACGCCGCGUGGAGGAUGAAGGCCUUUGGGUUGUAAACUCCUUUCGUGGGGGAAGAACGUACGCGAGGUGAAUAAUCUCGCGUGUUGACGGUACCCCAAGAAGAAGCUCCGGCUAACUCCGUGCCAGCAGCCGCGGUAAUACGGGGGGAGCAAGCGUUGUUCGGAAUCACUGGGCGUAAAGGGCGUGUAGGCGGUUCGGUAAGUGGGAUGUGAAAUCCCUCGGCUCACCCGAGGACCUGCAUCCCAUACUGCUGAGCUUGAGUACAGGAGAGGGUGGGGGAAUUCCUGGUGUAGCGGUGAAAUGCGUAGAUAUCAGGAGGAACACCGGUGGCGAAGGCGCCCACCUGGCCUGCUACUGACGCUGAGGCGCGAAAGCUAGGGGAGCAAA
rnacentral:rRNA from 1 species